rnacentral:rRNA from 1 species
GACGAACGCUGGCGGCGUGCUUAACACAUGCAAGUCGAACGGGAGUAUUGAAGAAGCUUGCUUUAGAGAUACUUUAGUGGCGGACGGGUGAGUAACGCGUGAGGAGCUGUCCUAUGCAGGGGGACAACAGCUGGAAACGGCUGCUAAUACCCCAUAAGCCGAGAGGUAAAAGGAUCAAUCCGGCAGAGGAGGUACUCGCGUCCUAUCAGCUAGUAGGUGAGGUAACGGCUCACCUAGGCGAAGACGGGUAGCCGGCCUGAGAGGGCGAACGGCCACACUGGAACUGAGAUACGGUCCAGACUCCUACGGGAGGCAGCAGUGGGGAAUAUUGGGCAAUGGGGGAAACCCUGACCCAGCGACGCCGCGUGGGUGAAGAAAUCCUUCGGGAUGUAAAGCCCUGUUGUAUGGGAAGAGCGGAAGACGGUACCAUACGAGGAAGCCCCGGCAAACUACGUGCCAGCAGCCGCGGUAAAGUCACGUCG